ACAGGUUAAAUUGAAUUUUGAAACGAAAUCCAGGGUUUAAAACGUAAAUAACAAAAAAUGGGUCUUCAGGGACCAAAAUAUAAUGCGCUCAAAGAACGGAGGGCUGAUUUGGAAAAUAUCCUAAGCCCUAUGCGCAGCGUUUUGGUGCGGACUGAAAUGAAACAACAAUAAAAUUACACGGCUAAAUUAAAGUAAAAGAAAAGAAAUAGAGAGGGCCAAAUUACAACGCGUUGCAAAAGCGAAGGGACCGCGCACGCAAAUAACCCUUUUUAAAACGGCGCCGUUUUGGUGCCUAGAAGCUUGCCCGAAACGACGUCAUUUUGGGGGCCUAUAAAAGUCAAGUUUUUAAGAAAAUAAAUUCAUUUGACCUUGUUUUUCAGAAAAAAAUUUUAAAACUCUCUCCCCCUCUCCUCUUUCAACCAAACCUCUGGCCUAAAGUCUGGCCGAUCGCCGCCAAUCUGGCCGCCUGGCACCGCCGCACACGAUGGCUGGCGAAAGUGAAAAAGUCCCUCUCGAAGGUUUCGACCCCUCCGAGUCAUGAUCCGGCCUCAAAGCUUCAAAAAAAUGAAGGAAAUGGGACCAUCGGCCUCUUCAAUGACCGACUGAGCAUCGAAGAAGGAGCCCGACGACAAAGAGGUGGAUCGACUCCCGUAGGCUUCUUUUCUUUUUCUUUUUUU
rnacentral:lncRNA from 1 species